AAAAGGAAUCACUCUCUCUGUGACUCUCUCACCCUAACUCUCUCUCUAUACUCUUCAUUUCUCCAAAGAAGAGAAGAAGACCACCGCCGCCUCCUCGAUUUUACUCUUCCAUCAUCGUCUCCUCCUUCGCUGGAGAAACCAACACACUCCCGCGCUCCCUCACCCUCUCCCCGUCACUCUCUUCUCCCUCUAUCUCUUCUCGUCGCCGGAAAGAACCACCGGUGAAGAGCAAAACGCAGCAGUUAAGCGCUGCUCUUCUUCUCCCAAAACGCUACUGCUAACAGCAACAAUCUUCAACAACACGCAGCAGCGGCGGCGGGCAGCAGACCAUCACCACCAGCAGCCGUCAGCAGCUCCACGAUGCAGCAGCCAGCAGCCUGCAACUGCGGCGACCUCCUUCUCCUCGACAGCAACAUCGACGGCGGUAGGAGCAUCGAUGCUCCAGUGAACUGACCAGCAACUCCGGCCAGUGACGAAGAUGUAGAACGCCGCCAUGAAUCAAGCCCAAAUCAAUCGGAAAUUAUUGGUCAAAGACGGAUCUGUUCAAGAUCCGUCCGGGUACGUUUAGAUUCAAAUUGGUUUGAACUUCAAAGUUCAAGACACGAGGAGUUGCGAACGAAAGUUUAAGAUGUCAUUAUUUCAUCUACAUUUCGUAUUAUUUAUUUAUUUACCUUUUAUUUUAGUUUGUAAUAAUCUUGUAAAAACUAUACUCUACAUAAUAAUAAACAUUUGGGGAUUGUCUAAAGGGGUUUGGGGGUAGAUAGGCCCUUCGGAAAUGAUGAAAAUCGACCCGAGCAGAAAAAUGACAAACUGUAUAUAUUUUGUCUUUCGAUUAAUAAGCCAGCGCUGAUCCGAAGAUGAUAAGAAUGUAGGUAUUUUUAUGUCCUUUCGACUUUUAAAUAUUUUUGUUUGUAUAUAUUUGGGGGUAGUUUAAUAUUUUUAAAAUUUUAAUGAUUUUUUAGGCAUCACUAAUCUUAUUAGAAGUUUUCACCCAAA